rnacentral:rRNA from 1 species
CAUAGCCGCGGUAAUACGGAGGGUGCAAGCGUUAAUCGGAAUUACUGGGCGUAAAGCGCACGCAGGCGGUCUGACAAGUCAGAUGUGAAAUCCCCGGGCUUAACCUGGGAACUGCAUUUGAAACUGUCAGGCUGGAGUCUUGUAGAGGGGGGUGGAAUUCCAGGUGUAGCGGUGAAAUGCGUAGAGAUCUGGAGGAAUACCGGUGGCGAAGGCGGCCCCCUGGACAAAGACUGACGCUCAGGUGCGAAAGCGUGGGGAGCAAACAGGAUUAGAUACCCGUGUAGUCCCUGUCUCUUAUACC